CUACCAUGCAGUCGAGCGAGAUCUUCGGAUCUAGCGGCGGACGGGUGAGUAACGCGUGGGAACGUGCCCUUCUCUACGGAAUAGUCCCGGGAAACUGGGUUUAAUACCGUAUACGCCCUUCGGGGGAAAGAUUUAUCGGAGAAGGAUCGGCCCGCGUUGGAUUAGGUAGUUGGUGGGGUAAUGGCCUACCAAGCCGACGAUCCAUAGCUGGUUUGAGAGGAUGAUCAGCCACACUGGGACUGAGACACGGCCCAGACUCCUACGGGAGGCAGCAGUGGGGAAUCUUAGACAAUGGGCGCAAGCCUGAUCUAGCCAUGCCGCGUGAGUGACGAAGGCCCUAGGGUCGUAAAGCUCUUUCACCAGGGAUGAUAAUGACAGUACCUGGAGAAGAAACCCCGGCUAACUCCGUGCCAGCAGCCGCGGUAAUACGGAGGGGGUUAGCGUUGUUCGGAAUUACUGGGCGUAAAGCGCGCGUAGGCGGGCUGUUAAGUCGGGGGUGAAAUCCCGGGGCUCAACCCCGGAACUGCCCUCGAUACUGGCAGCCUAGAGUUCGAGAGAGG
rnacentral:rRNA from 1 species